UCUGGGUGUGGUGGCACGUACCUAUAGUCCCAGCUACUUGGGAGGUUGAGGUGGGAGGACUGCUUGAGUCCAGGAGUUCUGGGCUGUAGUGCACUAUGCCGAUCGGGUGUCCACACUAAGUUCAGCAUCAAUAUGGUGACCUCCCGGGAGUGGGGGACUACCAGGUUGCCUAAGGAGGGGUGAAUUGGCCCAGGUCGGAAAUGGAGCAGGUCAAAACUCCCGUGACGAUCAGUAGUGGGAUCGCACCUCUGAAUAGCCACUGCUCUCCAGCCUGGGCAACAUAGUGAGACCCUGUCUCA
ensembl:misc_RNA Metazoa_SRP Metazoan signal recognition particle RNA